CACGCUGUAAACGAUGAGUGCUAGAUGUCGGGAAUUUAUUUUUCGGCAUCGUAGCUAACGCAUUAAGCACUCCGCCUGGGGACUACGAUCGCAAGAUUAAAACUCAAAGGAAUUGACGGGGGCUCGCACAAGUGGUGGAGCAUGCGGUUUAAUUCGAUGCUACGCGAAAAACCUUACCAACCCUUGACAUGGUGGUCGCGGGUCUCAGAGAUGAGACCCUUCAGUUCGGCUGGACCACACACAGGUGU
rnacentral:rRNA from 1 species